rnacentral:rRNA from 1 species
AUGAGCCUAAACCCACAGGCGGGCCGCGCCGCGGCACGCGCGGCAGAGCAUGGAGCCAUCGCCGGCCUGGCCGCCGCCACCUCCAGGAUCGCCUCCCACGGCCGCGCCGGCGACGCCGCCGCGGCGCGCGCCGUGUUCGACGCGAUGCCCCGCCGCGACGCCGUCGCCUGGAACGCCAUGCUCACCGCCUACGCCCGCGCCGGCCAGCCGCGCGCGGCCCUCGCGCUUUUCGCCGGCAUGGGCACGCUGGACGCCUUCUCCAUCACCGCAGCGCUCUCCGCGGCGGCGGCCCUCCGCUCGCCCGGCGCCGGCGCGCAGCUCCACGCCCGACUCCUCCGCAUCGGCCUGCGCGCGCCGCUCCCCGUCGGCAACGCGCUCGUCGCCAUGUACGCCAGGUGCGCCCGCGCGGACGACGCCGCGCGCGCCUUCCGGGAGAUGCGCGACCGCAACGCGCUGUCCUGGUGCUCGCUCCUCCACGCCUACGUCGCCUCGGGCCGCAUGGCGCUCGCGCGCGAGCUGUUCGACGAAAUGCCCGCUGGAAGCAUUAGCAGUGUUGCCUGGAACACGCUGCUCACGGGGUAUUCCCGCGGUGGCAAUGCCAAGCAGUGUCUGCUUCUGUUCAACGAGAUGCGGGUUUCCGGACUGUCUUGCGACGAUGCAACGCUCUGCAUUCUGAUCGACGCUUGCACGGAGCUGCGCUACCCAUCCACCGGCGUUGCAGUCCACAAGAUCGUUGUGCAGAGUGGCUGGAAUGCAAUCCCCGAAGUCAAUAACUCACUUAUUUCCUUCUACAGUAAGUUCAGCUUGCUAGAUCAGGCCGUCAAGAUCUUCGAGUCUAUGGAGAGUAGAACCGUUGUGUCCUGGAAUUCACUGAUCGAUGCAUACACAAGGCUUGGCCACAUUGAACAAGCUGCUGCUCUGUUUCAAAGUGCUCCUGAGACCAAUGACAUCUCCUGGACUUCGAUGAUUGGAGGUUUUGCGAGGAAUGGCUAUGCAGAUGAGGCCCUUGCACUAUUUGUCAAGAUGUUGGCACACAAGCAUAUCCGUCCCGAUGAUUUCACUUUUGGGGCCGUGCUUCAUGCUUGUGCUACCGCUGCUUCUCUGGCCAGUGGAAGGAUGAUCCAUGCCUGUGCAUUCCAAAGUGGUUUUGCUUCAUACUUGUAUGUGGCCAACAGCUUGAUGGACAUGUACGCCAAGUGUGGCGAUGUCGAGGCUGCAGGCAAUGUGUUCCAUGCCAUUCUUCAGAAGGACUCUGUCUCAUGGAACACCAUGCUGUUUGGGUUCGCGAUAAAUGGAUGGGCAAAGGAAGCAUUUACUGUGUAUGAAAGGAUGUUGUCCCACGAUGUUUGCCCUGAUGAAGUCACGUUCACAGGCCUGCUCACAGCCUGCAGCCAUUCUGGGCUCCUGGAGCAAGGGAGAACCUAUUUUGAGUCGAUGGUGUCUGUCCAUGGACUGAAGCCAACACCAGAGCAUCUAGCUUGCAUUCUCGACAUGUAUGCUAGAUCAGGUAACAUUGCAAAAGCCAUUGAGAUGCUGGACCAAUACUCUGAAACAGUUCAUACGCAUAGCAGCGAUAUGCGCGAGUCUCUGCUUAGUGCCUACUCAUCAGUUGACCUGGACGCAAGAAUCGGAAGGAAGGUGGGGAGCAGAAUGGUGUCAACGGAGCCUGUGAGAGACACUGGCUAUGUGGUGCUGUCCAACUUGUUGUGCGCCACUGGACAGUGGAAGGAAGCCGAGGGGGUGAGAAGGGCCAUGGCAGAGCAUGGUGUCAAGAAGUCUCCUGGCUGUAGCUGGAUCCACGUGAAGGGUGCUGCUAAGGUGUUUGCAUCAGGUGGGCAGGAACUUGAUCCAUCAGAUAGAAUAUGCGAUAUCAUUCAGUUGUUGGAUGAAGAAAUGAGAAAUACUAUGUGUUGCGGUGCAUAA